rnacentral:tRNA from 1 species
ACCUUUAUGGUGUAGUGAUCAGCACGCUCGACUGGCAACCGAGAGGUUCGGAGUUCGAUUCACGGUGAUGGAA